UGGGGUGUAGCUCAGUGAUAGAGCGCUUGCCCAGCAUGUAUGAGGCACUGGGUUUGAUCCUCUGCAUCACAU
rnacentral:tRNA from 1 species